rnacentral:rRNA from 1 species
GUCGACGAUGAUCCCCAGCUUGCUGGGGGGAUUAGUGGCGAACGGGUGAGUAACACGUGAGUAACCUGCCCUUAACUCUGGGAUAAGCCUGGGAAACUGGGUCUAAUACCGGAUAUGACUCCUCAUCGCAUGGUGGGGGGUGGAAAGCUUUAUUGUGGUUUUGGAUGGACUCGCGGCCUAUCAGCUUGUUGGUGAGGUAAUGGCUUACCAAGGCGACGACGGGUAGCCGGCCUGAGAGGGUGACCGGCCACACUGGGACUGAGACACGGCCCAGACUCCUACGGGAGGCAGCAGUGGGGAAUAUUGCACAAUGGGCGCAAGCCUGAUGCAGCGACGCCGCGUGAGGGAUGACGGCCUUCGGGUUGUAAACCUCUUUCAGUAGGGAAGAAGCGAAAGUGACGGUACCUGCAGAAGAAGCGCCGGCUAACUACGUGCCAGCAGCCGCGGUAAUACGUAGGGCGCAAGCGUUAUCCGGAAUUAUUGGGCGUAAAGAGCUCGUAGGCGGUUUGUCGCGUCUGCCGUGAAAGUCCGGGGCUCAACUCCGGAUCUGCGGUGGGUACGGGCAGACUAGAGUGAUGUAGGGGAGACUGGAAUUCCCUGGUGUAGCGUGAAAUGCGCAGAUAUCAGGAGGAACACCGAUGGCGAAGGCAGGUCUCUGGGCAUUAACUGACGCUGAGGAGCGAAAGCAUGGGGGAGCGAA